rnacentral:rRNA from 1 species
UACAGAGGGUGCGAGCGUUGUCCGGAAUCACUGGGCGUAAAGGGCGCGUAGGCGGCUUGAUAAGCGUGCGGUGAAAGCCCGGGGCUCAACCCCGGGUCGGCCGUGCGAACUGUCGAGCUGGAGCACUGUAGAGGCAGGUGGAAUUCCGGGUGUAGCGGUGAAAUUCGUAGAUAUUGGGAAGAACACCGGUGGCGAAGGCGGCUCACUGGCUCAUUACUGACGCUCAGGCGCGAUAGCGUGGGGAUCAAACAGG